rnacentral:rRNA from 1 species
UAGGGAAUCUUCCGCAAUGGACGAAAGUCUGACGGAGCAACGCCGCGUGAGUGAAGAAGGAUUUCGGUUCGUAAAACUCUGUUGUUAGGGAAGAAAAAAUGUAUAGUAACUAUAUACAAAAGAGACGGUACCUAACCAGAAAGCCACGGCUAACUACGUGCCAGCAGCCGCGGUAAUACGUAGGUGGCAAGCGUUGUCCGGAAUUAUUGGGCGUAAAGCGCGCGCAGGUGGUUUAGAAAGUCUGAUGUGAAAGCCCACGGCUCAACCGUGGAGGGUCAUUGGAAACUAAUAAACUUGAGUGCAGGGGAGAAAAGUGGAAUUCCUAGUGUAGCGGUGAAAUGCGUAGAGAUUAGGAGGAACACCGGUGGCGAAAGCGGCUUUUUGGCCUGCAACUGGCACUGAGGCGCGAAAGCGUGGGGAGCAAACAGG